rnacentral:rRNA from 1 species
AUGGACUCAACGAGGAAGAGCACUACCACUUUUUCAGAAUUUGAUUUUGUGAACCUUCAUGUUGCACUAUCACAUAUUGCACAUGAGUUGAUUCAAGUUUCCAGAGUUCAAACCACAACAAUCAAUCGGUCUGAAGGUGCUCCUGUUUUAUAUCAGAUGGUGAGGAAUGGGGACCCUUUUCGGAUAUUUGACUACUAUAUUUGCAUGCCGGAGUUCGCCGCCGUCUGCUGUGCUGUGAUUUUUGGGUAUGAUGCUAGAUUACGUGGUUGCAUAGUUCCUUCUUUUUCUUCUUCAAAUUCAAUAUUCUUGGGUCAUGGUGUGCUCAUGCUGAUUUGCAGCCCGGAUGAUAGUCCGUGGGAGGGAGGUUAG